GGUAUUUUGACCGUGCAAAGGUAGCAUAAUCAUUAGUUUUUUAAUUGAAAGCUGGAAUGAAAGGUUGGAUGAGAAAAAAGCUGUCUCUAUUUAAUUUAUUUAGAAUUUUAUCUUUAAGUUAAAAAGCUUAAAUUUAGAUAAAAGACGAGAAGACCCUAUAGAGUUUUAUUAGUUUUUUUUAUAGAGUUAAUAGUAUUUUUUGUUUUUAUAGGAAAAAUUAAUUUAGUUGGGGUGAUUGAAAAAUUGAGUUAACUUUUUUUUUAUAUUUACAUUAAUAAAUGGUUAUUUGAUCCUUAAUUUAAGAUUAAAAGAUAAAAUUACCUUAGGGAUAACAGCGUAAUUUUUUUUGAGAGUUCAAAUCGAAAGAAAAGAUUGCGACCUCGAUGUUGGAUUAAAAUAAAAUUUUGGUGUAGAAGCUAAAA
rnacentral:rRNA from 1 species